AACGAAUCCCAGUCCUGGGUGUGGCAUCUGGCAUCUUAAGUGGCCACCUGAAGAGCUGGAUGACACAGUCCAGAAGUCUGGUGUGCUAAUUCCCAUGGAACAAACUUUGGUCACUGGGAAACUGAAGAUGGGAGGGAGAAAAUGCUUCAUGGUUCCAGCAUUUGUUUGAGGAUCUAUGUCCCAUCUCACAUCAAUUUUUGUUCAUGGAGUGAGGCCAUGAAAGAAAGAUGAAGAAGAUCCUUGGGCCUGUACAAAUUUGGGAAAAAGAGUCACCCUAUUAGUCAGUAAGUUUUGUUUGUUUGAUUCUGUUUAAUCCUGAAUCUGAGGACUAAUCUUAGAGUAAGGCAAAACAGAAAGAGUUUUCAGAGGCACCUAGUUGGACCCAGAAAGAGAAAAUGGCAGUUACUUUGGCUGU